rnacentral:rRNA from 1 species
AUUUUUGACAAUUGGGGAAACCCUGAUCCAGCCAUCCCGCGUGUAUGAUGAAGGCCUUCGGGUUGUAAAGUACUUUUGGCAGAUAAGAAAAGGUAUCCCCUAAUACGUGUUACUGCUGACGGUAUCUGCAGAAUAAGCACCUGCUAACUACGUGCCAGCAGCCGCGGUAAUACGUAUGGUGCAAGCGUUAAUCGGAAUUACUGGGCGUAAAGCGUGUGUAGGCGGUUAGGAAAGAAAGAUGUGAAAUACCAGGGCUCAACCUUGGAACUGCAUUUUUAACUGCCGAGCUAGAGUAUGUCAGAGGGAGGUAGAAUUACACGUGUAGCAGUGAAAUGCGUAGAUAUGUGGAGGAAUAACGAUGGCGAAGGCAGCCCCCUGGGAUAAUACUGACGCUCAGACACGAAAGCGUGGGGAGCAAACAGG